rnacentral:rRNA from 1 species
UACGGGGGGGGCAAGCGUUGUUCGGAAUUACUGGGUGUAAAGGGCGCGUAGGCGGCCUGUUAAGUCGAACGUGAAAUCCCUCGGCUUAACCGGGGAACUGCGUCUGAUACUGGAUGGCUUGAGUUCGGGAGAGGGAUGCGGAAUUCCAGGUGUAGCGGUGAAAUGCGUAGAUAUCUGGAGGAACACCGGUGGCGAAGGCGGCAUCCUGGACCGACACUGACACUGAGGAGCGAAAGCCAGGGGAGCAAACGGG